GAUGAACGCUGGCGGCGUGCUUAACACAUGCAAGUCGAACGGAAAGGCCCAAGCUUGCUUGGGUACUCGAGUGGCGAACGGGUGAGUAACACGUGGGUGAUCUGCCCUGCACUUCGGGAUAAGCCUGGGAAACUGGGUCUAAUACCGGAUAGGACCACAUUUUGGAUGGUGUGGUGGAAAGUUUUUCGGUGUGGGAUGAGCUCGCGGCCUAUCAGCUUGUUGGUGGGGUAAUGGCCUACCAAGGCGUCGACGGGUAGCCGGCCUGAGAGGGUGUACGGCCACAUUGGGACUGAGAUACGGCCAAGACUACUACGGGAGGCAGCAGUGGGGAAUAUUGGACAAUGGGGGCAAGCCUGAUGCAGCGACGCCGAGUGGGGGAUGACGGCCUUCGGGUUGUAAACUCCUUUCGCUAGGGACGAAGCGCAAGUGACGGUACCUGGAGAAGAAGCACCGGCUAACUACGUG
rnacentral:rRNA from 1 species